UUUAGAACACGAAGUGGUUGAUGCCAUGCUUCCAAGAAAAGCUUCUAAGCUUCAGGUAACCAGGAACCGUACCCCAAACCGACACAGGUGGUUGGGUAGAGAAUACCAAGGCGCUUGAGAGAACUCGGGUGAAGGAACUAGGCAAAAUGGCACCGUAACUUCGGGAGAAGGUGCGCCGGUGAGGGUGAAGCAUUUACUGCGUAAGCUCAUGCCGGUCGAAGAUACCAGGCCGCUGCGACUGUUUAUUAAAAACACAGCACUCUGCAAACACGAAAGUGGACGUAUAGGGUGUGACGCCUGCCCGGUGCCGGAAGGUUAAUUGAUGGGGUUAGCGCAAGCGAAGCUCUUGAUCGAAGCCCCGGUAAACGGCGGCCGUAACUAUAACGGUCCUAAGGUAGCGAAAUUCCUUGUCGGGUAAGUUCCGACCUGCACGAAUGGCGUAACGAUGGCGGCGCUGUCUCCACCCGAGACUCAGUGAAAUUGAAAUCGCUGUGAAGAUGCAGUGUAUCCGCGGCUAGACGGAAAGACCCCGUGAACCUUUACUAUAGCUUUGCACUGGACUUUGAAUUUGCUUGUGUAGGAUAGGUGGGAGGCUUUGAAGCGUGGACGCCAGUCUGCGUGGAGCCAACCUUGAAAUACCACCCUGGCAACUUUGAGGUUCUAACUCAGGUCCGUUAUCCGGAUCGAGGACAGUGUAUGGUGGGUAGUUUGACUGGGGCGGUCUCCUCCUAAAGAGUAACGGAGGAGUACGAAGGUGCGCUCAGACCGGUCGGAAAUCGGUCGUAGAGUAUAAAGGCAAAAGCGCGCUUGACUGCGAGACAGACACGUCGAGCAGGUACGAAAGUAGGUCUUAGUGAUCCGGUGGUUCUGUAUGGAAGGGCCAUCGCUCAACGGAUAAAAGGUACUCCGGGGAUAACAGGCUGAUACCGCCCAAGAGUUCAUAUCGACGGCGGUGUUUGGCACCUCGAUGUCGGCUCAUCACAUCCUGGGGCUGAAGCCGGUCCCAAGGGUAUGGCUGUUCGCCAUUUAAAGUGGUACGCGAGCUGGGUUUAGAACGUCGUGAGACAGUUCGGUCCCUAUCUGCCGUGGACGUUUGAGAUUUGAGAGGGGCUGCUCCUAGUACGAGAGGACCGGAGUGGACGAACCUCUGGUGUUCCGGUUGUCACGCCAGUGGCAUUGCCGGGUAGCUAUGUUCGGAAAAGAUAACCGCUGAAAGCAUCUAAGCGGGAAACUUGCCUCAAGAUGAGAUCUCACUGGAACCUUGAGUUCCCUAAAGGGCCGUCGAAGACUACGACGUUGAUAGGUUGGGUGUGUAAGCGCUGUGAGGCGUUGAGCUAACCAAUACUAAUUGCCCGUGAGGCUUGACCAUAUAACACCCAAGCAAUU
rnacentral:rRNA from 1 species